GCCUUUUUAGUAUAAUAGUAUAUUUGGCUUCCAACCAGAAGGUCUAGAAACUUUCUAGAAAAGGCA
rnacentral:tRNA from 1 species